rnacentral:tRNA from 3 species
ACCCCGAAAAUGAUGGUUCAACUCCUUCCCCUGCUA